GCGGCGGUAAUUUGGGGGCAAUUUAUCAAACAGCUGUGAAUGAAAGAAUUGGGGCGGUUCAACUUGAGGUUUUCGAGUGCGCAGCUAGACAAUUUUAAUUUGGGAGGUUUUUAUCAAACCCCAACCCGUUCUCUCCCUCCCUAAUUGAAACAUGGUGAAUAACUUCUAAGGGUUCUCUGCCUUUCCCCUGCAUUCAAAAUCACACCUUUCUCAUCUUAUCGAGUUUUGGCGUUGCUCAAUCUCCUUGCUUCGCCAUGUAUGUGUAUCCUCUCUCACUACCAGUUUAGUCCACCUCUACCUGCGAAUCCUGCGAACAAAUCUCAAUUCAAUCCACCACCCACGCACUGCCCUUCGAUCGUUCUGGUUGCGACCUAAGUUUCUGAGAUCGAGAGAGAAAGCGCGUCUUCCUUCAACACAUCUCCUCCGCCAACAACGUCGUUGCUCUCUCCGUUAGCAAACUAUCAAUUUUUGCACUCUCUUCUUCUUUCCACUCGUUUUCAAUUUCUGGUGCUCUUUUUCCUUCCCUUUUUAUUCAUUUAUUUGUUUUUUAUUCUGAUGUUCUGAUUGAUUUGCUCUUUGAUAUAAUAAUAUUUAAUGAUUUUUAGUUUCUCUUAAUUGAAUUGUUUCAAAUUCUCAAGCAUUCCAGGUGUUUGAUGAAAUACUUAUUACUUUUUUUUCUCACUAAAUACAGUAAUUGAUGUUGAUUUAGUAAAAGAUUAUUAAUUUGUGAGGGAGGAACAAAAUAUGAGUGAGGAUGAUAAUAAUGAUUCCUCAAACAUAGUGGUUCUAUCUUUUUAGUUUUUGGAAUUCCCUUAUUUUUAUGGAUUUUAUGAGCUUUAGAUUUUAUCUUAUUUUGCUUAGUAACUGAGAGCUUAAUAACCAUGUUGUCAUUGUAUUUUUCUUGCAAUCUCUGUAGGCAAUCAUAUGUUUGGAAUUGGUUUCUGUUAAAAUUAUUAAAUAUAGUUGCUAGCUACUAGUCAUUCUAUAUGGGUUCCGGGAAGAUAGGGCUUUGAUAGUUAAUCCCUUAAUCAGUUAUGGCAAGGUACUAUAUUCUUGGCUUGAUAGCAGUAAUGAAGAGAUUGACAGAAUUUGGUUAUGUCUAGGUGAUCAUGGGGUGAAUGUAAUAAAGUAAUUGACAAAUUUAGUUAUGUCUAGAAAAUCAUGGGUAAAUGCAAUCAAGAGAUUGACUCCUUGAUCUAGCUCUGAUGUUUAAGUGACCUUUAUAUUAUGACAAAAACAUCAAUGCCCUUCAAUUCGAUCACAAACACACAUAUAUUAUUAUAUUGCUCCCAGAUAGCAUGAUACAGCAUCAACAUUUGCGCCAACUCUUUCUAAAAUAGCCUCAUUUCCAGCCCCUGGAACAAUGCCUAAAUAUAUAAAUGAAUUUAGUCAACGCUAUCUAUAUGGAUUGUUGACAAACUUUGAAUAGUCAAUGCUAGUGUUGACAUGGACUUUAGCGACUUGGUCUUAAUCUGAUUUAAAAGGGGCAUCUAUAUUAUAUAGUCAUAUACAGAUGAGAAUCAUUAUAUUUCCAUAUGUGGGAGAUAUUUCAAUCAUUAAAAAGAAAUACAGUAAAAUGUCUGAUCCCUUUUACUUUGAUUCAUGCUUUAUUUCAAUAGGAUCGGAGUAAUAUGUAAUGAUUUUGUUUUAACAUUGUGACGUUUGGUGAGCACAUUUGAUUGGGAGGUAAUAAUUUAGAAAGAAAGAAGCGUAAGAAAAUAAUAAAAGAGGGUAUAGGUUUGCGAUAGUUAGAUAGGAAGAGAGGGCAGUUAUGAAAAUUAAUAGUAAGUUAAGUGAGCGUAUCUGUGUACAUAACUCAAAAUGAAUUUUUAAUGCAAAUUUGUUAGUAAUACUGUAAUAGUAAUAAGUCAAACAUGAAGGACUUAUUCUUCGCAAGACAUUAUGACUCUCUAGUACAACGAAAAAUCUACAUUAACUACUAAAUUAAUCAAAAGUAUACACUUGAAGGGUGAUAAUACAAUAACAAAAGCAGAAACGUAGCAUAUAAUGUAGCUUUCAAAAUAGCUUUUUAAAGAUUAACAAAGGAAUCAAGACCUUGCAACUUUUUUUCAGUGUCAGAGAAGAAUGAAAGAGAGUGAAGCUCAAUUGGUACCUAAUUGAUUUGAACACUAUUUGAUUUUGAAAUGCAAUCCACUAAAUCGAAUAAGAAGUCUCAGAAAAGGAGUGUGCAUGUUCAUGUAUGUUUGUGUGAGAGAGUGAGAAAACGAGCUUAUAUUCAUAUACUUAGAGGCAUCUACAGGUUGAGUAAUCUUGACUUGUCACUGACUAGGAAGUCAGAACAGUUGGUAUGAGAUCUUCUAUGAUUGUUUUUUUCCUCUGCUGAAGUUUCUUCUCCCAUUGUAAAAUCAGACAACCCCAUGCACAGUAAGCUAGUUAGAACCCAUUUGAAAAUUCAAAUUGUGAGCAUCUGGCUUAAUGGACAAUGAACGUGUUUUGUCAGUGUUGUGUUACCCAUUUCUGCAGUCCAAUUCCAAGUUUCUAUGUGUUGAUUGUGUUUUUUAUAUAUCUUAAUUGGUUUUGUCUGAUGUCUAAAUUUGUUUCUAUGUAAUUUCUUUUCCUCAAAAUUCUAUGUAGAGGGUGCCGCCUUCAACUUGAGGUUACUUUUCAGUCUUGAAAAGUUACUUGAGAUUUAAAAGUUAUUAACUUCCUGCUUGUUCCAGCCUCCCAGAAACUAGGUUGGGACAGUGAUAGUUAAAAGUUUUUAUUAUAGAAGGGGCAAGGGAAUUGGUAGAUUAUUUUUUUUUUUGGUGCAUGUGUGGCAUUGACAUGGAUUGUACCAAGUGCUGUAAAUAAAAUUCAUUGGUCUAGGCUGCAGCAGUAAGAGAACUGGAUAGCUUUGUCUCUGAUGUGGAAAAUAACACCUAUUACAUUGAUUUUCCUGGCUGCUAUGGUGCCCUGCUUAGAGUCUUCGGGUGUCCUCUCCUUUGAUCAGAACUUCGAAAAUAUGGGUGAGGAUGAUGACAAUGAUUCCUCAAACACGGUCAUUCUAUCUUUUUAGAUUUUGGAAUUAGCUUAUUUUUAUGGAUUUUUAUGAGCUUUGGAUUUUAUCUUAUUUUGCUUAGUAACUGAGAGCUUAAUAACUGUGUUGCUUCAAGGAAGAUAUGUCUAAUUGAAUUAGCAGUUGUUGAAUUUUUUAUUAAGCAAUUCAAAUUAUUAAUUAAUAAUGAAUUUGUUAACAGGUGAUUUUUGUUGCAAUUGAAGGGAGCAUAAGUGUAAAUAUAGAAGAUUGUAAGAAUCGAGUUUGAAUUUCGAUCACUCCCCCUUUUUGAAACUUUAUGCAAUUCUUCUAGAUCAUGCAGUAGUAUAUACGGAAUUGGAUGAAGAAUUUAGAAAAGGUUUAAUGCAUUUAAAGAGAAAAUUAAUCUCGCUGAGGCUAACAAAAGGUUUAGUGCAUUUAAAGAGCAGUGUUGCGUUUCAGAGUUUUAAAAUUCUUUUUAUGUUAUUUAUCUCUGGUUUUGGGGCAAUUUGUAAGGAUGAGCUUAGUGGUUUCUCACAGAAGUAGCUAGAUUUGGAAAUAUAUUUAAAGAUCCACAAUGGCACAAUCUAGAUCAAUAUUUCUUAAGGUUUGUUUGUUUUACAUGGCCUAUCACAUGAUUAAACAUUUAAACUAUUUUCCAUGAUUGAAGUCUUAGAAUAUUAAUAUUUUACAAACAUUUCUCAUUAGAAUUUUGUGCAAAUAUUUUUAGAUUAGACUUGGACCAUGCCUUGGGUGAUAUGCAAUCCACGGAAGAAGCAGAAAAGACAAUAAAAAGAAAAAAUAAAAAAGAGAUAAAACAAUAUUCAGAUCGAAGCGGAAGCAGCAAAAAUGGAGCCGUUCGUCUUCGCCCUCUAGUUUUCGAAGACUUCUCUAAUGGAGCUUCUGGAAGGUCAAAGAGAAUCGUGUUUUGCUUCACAGGAUUCACGACACACCACUCUCUAACUCUUUUUAUGCUUUUUGAUCAUGUGUUCGAUGAAACUAGCACCCAUGGCUUCUACGAGCUGCUCGCUAAGGAUAUAAUUCAUGCUGUGCUCAAUGGCUUCAAUGGCAUGUUUCUAAUAUAUGAACAAAUAUGAACGCUAGGAGUAGCAGAUCGCAUACAAUAUUUAGAAUGGUAUACCUUAAACCUAUAUGUUGAUCUUACAUUAUAAUGGUUCUGGAUUUUAUUAUACUCCUUUUUUGAAUUUCAGUUAUUAGUAUAUUGUGUUAAUUGUAAUAUUUUUUCAUUCUGUAUAGAUUUAUAUUGAUGUACAAGAGAAUGAUGCCCAAUUUUCUUCCUAAAAUAAAUACCAUCUUAAAAACUUC